rnacentral:rRNA from 1 species
GAGUUUGAUCCUGGCUCAGAUUGAACGCUGGCGGCAUGCCUUACACAUGCAAGUCGAACGGCAGCAUGAUCUAGCUUGCUAGAUUGAUGGCGAGUGGCGAACGGGUGAGUAAUACAUCGGAACGUGCCCUGUAGUGGGGGAUAACUAGUCGAAAGAUUAGCUAAUACCGCAUACGACCUGAGGGUGAAAGUGGGGGACCGCAAGGCCUCAUGCUAUAGGAGCGGCCGAUGUCUGAUUAGCUAGUUGGUGGGGUAAAGGCCCACCAAGGCGACGAUCAGUAGCUGGUCUGAGAGGACGAUCAGCCACACUGGGACUGAGACACGGCCCAGACUCCUACGGGAGGCAGCAGUGGGGAAUUUUGGACGAAUGGGCGAAAGCCUGAUCCAGCAAUGCCGCGUGUGUGAAGAAGGCCUCGG